rnacentral:rRNA from 1 species
CUACGGGACGCAGCAGUGAGGAAUAUUGCACAAUGGGGGGAACCCUGAUGCAGCAACGCCGCGUGGAGGAUGACGCAUUUCGGUGUGUAAACUCCUUUUAUAUGUCAAGAAAAUGACGGUAGCAUAUGAAUAAGCACCGGCUAACUCCGUGCCAGCAGCCGCGGUAAUACGGAGGGUGCAAGCGUUACUCGGAAUCACUGGGCGUAAAGGACGCGUAGGCGGGUUGGAAAGUCAGGUGUGAAAUCCUACAGCUUAACUGUAGAACUGCACUUGAAACUGGUAACCUAGAGUAUGGGAGGGGGAGAUGGAAUUAGUGGUGUAGGGGUAAAAUCCGUAGAUAUCACUAGGAAUACCUAAAGCGAAGGCGAUCUCCUGGAACAUUACUGACGCUAAGGCGUGAAAGCGUGGGGAGCAAACAGGAUUAGAUACCCCCGUAGUC